UCCGCCGUAGUGUAAUCGGUUAGCACGGCACCCUUUGAAGGUGUUCGGUCCAGGUUCGAGUCCUGGCGGCGGAG
rnacentral:tRNA from 1 species